UAAAGCUGGGAGUUGAACCCAAUGGAUUCUGGGAAUAUGGUGGCUGUUGCCCUGGCAACAGGUCUGUGGACCCGCCCAUGUAUCAUCACAGGUUCUAGAUGCUAACAGUUAGCCUGCCUGAGUCCCUAGUCCCACUCUCAGUACUGCAAAACAAACUCAAGGACACUUCAAAGCAUAGUAAGGUCGAGUCCAUUCAUGGCCAUCUGAGUUGGUAACAGACCAUCGUGAUGGUGUCUUGGAUUCAACUUAGACACAAAUCAGGCUCAGCGGAAGUGAAGAUGUUCUGAAGAGACACCCUCAUCUCUCAAUCUGGCCAUCAGACUACUGGAAUGGGGGAUCCCAAAGAAAUGAGAGUCUCGUGCUCGGAGAAGGAAGAGGUCCCAGGCCGAGGAGGAAGUUGUCUCCCUGAGGGACACUUCACACCACUCUAACAGCUUGACCGACAAUCUUCUAGGAUGAGAAUGAAGCCCAGACAAUGAUGAGCCUGUGUGGAUGGGACCACACGUUGACCAUGGCUGCUUAAGUGUGUAUACUCCUGGCCAUCUAUUUAAGCUUGAAUCUCAUUUUAGGACCCUAAAGGCUGGCUGUGUGUGUGUGUGUGUGUGUGUGUGUGUGUAUGUGUGUAUCCCUGUGGAUCUCUGACCUGCUUCCCAAUGUAAUCACAUUGAAUAAGGCCCUUCCCCUUUCUACCUCCCA